UUAUUUCAAUUUUCUUUCACAAUACUAUUACACUAUAAUUAAAAUUAUUUUUUCUUUAUUGAAUACUAAAACAAAUCUUUAUACAAUUAUUUUUAAUAAUUUAAACCCAUAAAAAAUAUAAAUUAAUAAAUAAAAUUUAAUCAAUUUAUAUUGAUUUGCACAAAAAAUUUUUCAAUGUAAAUGAAAUGCUUUACUUAAUAAGCUUUAAAUUGCAUUCUAGGUACACUUUCCAGUACAUCUACUAUGUUACGACUUAUCUUACCUUAAUAAUAAGAGUGACGGGCGAUGUGUGCAUAUUUUAGAGCUAAAAUCAAAUUAUUAAUCUUUAUAAUUUUACUGUCAAAUCCACUUUCAAUAAAUAUUUCAAAUUUAUAUUCAUAUAAAUAAAUUUAUUGUAACCCAUUUCUACUUAAACAUAAGCUACACCUUGAUCUGAUAUAUUUUUCUUUUAAAAUUUAUGAAAAUUAACAUUCUUAUAAAAUAUUCUAAUAACGACGGUAUAUAGACUGAUUACAAAUUUAAGUAAGGUCCAUCGUGGAUUAUCGAUUAUAGAACAGGUUCCUCUGAAUAGACUAAAAUACCGCCAAAUUUUUUAAGUUUCAAGAACAUAACUA
rnacentral:rRNA from 1 species